CGUGUGUUACCUAGGUGUUGCACUUCAGGUACAUAAGCAACAACCCUCUUAUUAUUGUGUAGUGCAAACAUAAAAGAAGGGCACUUCAGAUAGAUAAGCAACCAACCCUCUUCUUGUUAAUUGUGUAAUGCAACAUAAAAGUUAUUGUGUAAUGCAACAUAAAAGAAGGGCAGCUGCUCACUUAUUUUAAAAGAAAUAAUGGGCUCCCCUUUUAACUAUGAUAGUGUUAGUGCACUUUAGAAUUACGAAGUAUUUUCACUUACUGGGCAGCCUCGCAGUAAGAAAUGGGCAGCCUCGCAGUAAGAAAUAAGAAGAAUCAAACUUUUGUUGAACAUACUAGCUCCACCUAGCAGUUGUUCUCUCAGAGUUGCAUCAGUUGAUGCGUACCACCUUUAAAAUCAUGAAAGUAAUAAAUUAAGGUUUGUCGCUCGUCCAUCCCACAUCGAUAGCAAACGAAAGCAGAGAGUUGAGAGGAAGUUUAAAUGAGGAGAUCCGUGACCAAAGUAAAGCAUACUUUUCUCGGCCUUUUGACUAAGAUCAAAUGUAGUAUCUGUUCUUAUCAGUUAAAUAUCUGAUAUAUGAGUAAUUGGCUCACAUGAUAUUAACUCAAUUUUUUGAUGGGAAGGUCCGUAAGAGUAGCUUGCUAGUCGGGCCUUCAUGUGUUGCCUAGGUGAUGCACUACAGCCCAGGCCUAGCGCACCCCACCAAUUUGAGUCUUGAUUGUUUUCUGCUCGUGCUUGGCUACACAAGAUUGAGGAUAAUUAUAGCUUAGAAUGGAAUUAUGCACUGGAAUUCUUUGAUAUGUAGAAUGAAAUUGCAAGCACCCUCUUCUUGUUAUUUGCGUAAUGUGUAUUAGUUAAAAUAUGUAAUGUCCUGGACACACUGGCUAUACUAGUGUCUCGUGGGAGUUUUAGAGUUUUCUACUGGUAAUAACUGUAUGAUUACCACUUAUCUGAUAUGACUUUUGCAG
rnacentral:lncRNA from 1 species